UGUAUUAAGGUUAGUAAACCUUGACAAGCCUGUGGGGCUACUAGACACUUCUAGAUAUUACUAAUCCACGUUGUUAUCUUCUAUACUAGUUAUAGAAACAACUAUUCAUAGUAACAAUCUAGUACUAAAUAAUGGGGACAUUAUAAGUGGUUAACGUAUAUAUAAAUAUAAUAGUUAUUUACAGUUAGUGCGGACGUAAAAAUCAGGC
rnacentral:ribozyme from 1 species